UACGUAGGGUGCAAGCGUUACUCGGAAUUACUGGGCGUAAAGCGUGCGCAGGCGGUUUUCUAAGGCUGACGUGAAAGCCCCGGGCUUAACCUGGGAAUUGCGUUGGAGACUGCAAGGCUUGAAUCUGGCAGAGGGGGGUAGAAUUCCACGUGUAGCAGUGAAUGCGUAGAGAUGUGGAGGAACACCGAUGGCGAAGGCAGCGACCUGGGACAAGAUUGACGCUCAUGCACGAAAGCGUGGGGAGCAAACAGG
rnacentral:rRNA from 1 species